AUUAUGAAGUCAUUUAAUGAAGGGUAAAUGUCACGAUCCAAAUGGCCAUGAGUGGCAUCUAUACUAAUCUUUCUAUGGGAGAACCAGCUAACAAAAUCAUUUCCCAACCACUUAGUCAAUGUUAAGAUGAUACUAUCAUAAAACUAAUAUAAUAACAAUAAUUCAAAUCUAAUCAUUAUUAAUGCGGAAGUCAAACAAACUACUUACUAAAAUUCCCAAGACCCGUAAAUGUAUAAAGAAUGUUUCAUUGUCCGAAAGAUGGACAAGAAUAAAUAAGAUGACCCAUGGCAGUUUGGAGACGGAGCGCUCACCCUUGGAUCAACAUCUUCUAUCAAGCUUUAGAGGUGAGGUCAUGUCUGAGCCCCUAGAACACUUUCUGCACUCAACAAAAGAAGAGUACGGGGUAGUAUCAGUACAAACCACUAUGUACUGGUAGGUAUCAUAGGCCAACUCAAUUUAAUAGCAUGUACACAACAUAAAUCAAAUAACAAAUAGACAAGUAUCAUCACAUAACAAAUAUUCAAUAAAACAACAAUAUAACAACAGGUCAAAUAGUGCCCACAAACAAGUCACUUAACCAUCAAGAGUAUCAACCGCACUGUAAAAUCCACAGAAUCAAUAGAAAUAUGUACACACAUGCUGUGACACUUAUUUUUGCCAGAAUAGUCAUGACCUUCAGGGAACAAUCUAUGUUCAUGUACCGUUCUAGUGUGGUACUCGAUCCAACAUAUAUAUAUCCAUACCGACGUAGUACCCGAUCCAACAUAUACAUCUCCAUACCAGUGUGGUACCCGAUCCAAUAUAUACAUUUUUGUACCAUCGUAGUACCCGAUAAAACAUAACAUAUUCGCACUGGCGUGUUAGCCGAUCCAAUAUAUACAUAUCCGUACCGGCGUGGUACCUGAUCCAACAUAAAUAUAAACGUACCGGCGUGGUACCUGAUCCAAUAUAAAUAAAAAUAUAUCGGCAUGGUACCCGAUCUAACAAAAAUAUAAACAUAUCGGCGUGACACCCGAUCCAACAAAAAUGUAAACGUACCGGCGUGGUACCCGAUUCAACAUAAACAUAAACAAGUAUUAUCAAUAUCAAUUUACACAACCUCACAGCAUACAAAAUAAUGUAGCAAUAUUACAAGUACACUUAAGUCAUAAGACAAUUCCAUCAAGUCAAUUUUCAAUAAAUAUUUACACACGAAUCAUCAAUCCAAACAUCAAUAAUUUCAAACAUGUAUGAAUACCAAUCCACAAGUAUCCAAUUUAGGAGCAUACACAUAACUAAGUCGAGUUUAAACUCCAAUUAAACCGUAACCAACCUCAACCGAAGAACUCAAUAUCACUAGUCCACAAGUGUCUUGUCCUUUCUCAAAUUUUUGGAACGCUCAACAUCUCUUCUAACAUAUAAUCCUCUUAAGAAUACAAAUUUUGUAAUGCCCAUUAUAAAUUCUUACUUUAAAAAUCCUACGACUAAACCUUAAUAUAUCCAAACAUAAUAAUUAUUUUUAUACUAUAAAUCAUCACUUUUGAAACUAACAACGAAACACCAACACCACUUUGAUAUUCAUGAAAAGCUAAGAAAAUAGUCAACAGUGGCCUGUGCUACUUUUGAAUGCAUGAAAGAUUAAUAAAUCAGCCAGCAACGGCCAUUGUAAUUUCAUGGAAAAAGUGAAUUCAAGUAAUAGUGGCCUGCACCACUUUGACUUCAUGAAAACUUAAUUUCAAUUUGCCAACCAUGGCUACUUUUUCAUUACAAUUCCUUGAUUAGGUCAUCACCUAAUCAUCAAUUUGUCCUGUAGCUAUUUAUUUAGAAUUACAAGGAAUUAAUGAUUAAACAACACUAUGCAGUACUAUUUAACACCAACAUACGAUUGUAAAAAAUUUAACCUUGCCUGAAUUAUACUGCGUAAGAAAAUAGAGAAACCUCAAGUUGCGCCUCUUCCCCUGACUUACUGAUUAUAUUUCUA
rnacentral:lncRNA from 1 species